rnacentral:lncRNA from 1 species
AUGGCUGACAGAAAUGUCACUGUGAUAACUGAAUUCAUCCUCCUGGGGUUGACUGAUAACCCUGAAAUGAAUGUUGUCCUUUCUGUGCUCUUUCUAUUAAUCUAUCUCAUUACUGUCUUGGGCAACUUUUGGAUUAUCAUAAUAAUUCUGGCUAGUGCCCAACUCCAUUCACCCAUGUACUUUUUCCUUAGCCAGUUGGCUUUCUUAGAUUUCUGCUAUUCUUCAGUCUUGAUUCCUAAAAUGUUGGUGAAUUACAUAGCAGGACAGAAAGUCAUCUCUUAUCACGGUUGCCUCCUUCAGUAUUCCUUUGUCAGCUUGUUCCUGACUACUGAAUGCUUCCUCCUGGCUGCCAUGGCAUGUGAUCGGUAUCUCGCUGUUUGCCACCCACUUCACUACAAAGGUCUCAUGACUCCUACUUUCUGAAUCUAUUUGGUGACUGUUUCUUACCUGCUGGGCUCUGUAAACUCCCUCACCCACCUGAGUAGCUUACUCAGUUUGUCUUUCUGUGGGUCCAAUGUUAUCAACCGUUAUUUCUGUGACAUUCCAUUGCUCUUCCAACUCUCCUGUUCCAACACCCAACACAGUAAGAUUUUAUUUACUGUCCUUUCUGGAGCAACAUCAGUGACUACCUUUUUGAUAGUGGUUAGUUCCUAUCUGGUAAUCCUACUCAUUGUCCUGAAGAUACAUUCCACCAGGGGCAGAAAUAAAGCCAUAUCCACAUGUGCCUCCCACCUAAUGGUAGUGACUCUCUUCUACAGAACAGUGAUAUUUACUUAUCUGGGAGCCAACCCUGGAUACUCACAGGAUAGACCCAAAAUUCUGCCUGUGGAGUGCACACUUUUGUUGUCAAUACUAAAUCUUCUAAUAUAUAGCGUGAGAAACAGAGAAGUCAAAGAAGCCAUAAAAAUAAUUAUUAAGAGAAAAAUACUUCCUCAGUGAACAUGAAUUUUCAGCCAGAAACAUUUAAGACUAUUAUCAGUGCUGCGUGACGUCCAAGAGCUGAGCCAUUUUGCAGAUUUUGAGAUUCUUCUGAAACAAGAACUUGAAACCAAGCAUCAAUGGGAAAAAAACUCACCCACGAUCAGACCACAUGAAUAUUUGAGAGCCAGAAUUCAAAUAUGCCUAUACUUAUAUACUUGUACACAGACCUCCUCCUCAUUUACAUUAAUAAAAGGC